AAUUUAAUGCUUAAAAUGGAAUAAGAAAAAUUUUAGAAUUUGUAGGAAACUUUAUGGUUUAAUUUUUAGAAGAUUCACCCUUGAUCAAGAAACAUAGUUGUGGGUUCUUUUAGAAGUUUUUAUUUGAACUGAUAUAAUAGCCACCUUUCUAAUGGUAUGGAGUAA
ensembl:miRNA